CUGCACUCUCUUCAUCCUGUCUCAUCUGCCCUUGUGCUGCUGCCAAGUAAAACACGGGCUGCAGAAACCUUUUAUCUGGAAGGUCAGAGGCACUGAGGCAGUGUGUUCUCGAGGAACUGGAACUCAGGAGCGCUUCAAAUCUAUUCCCGUCUCUCACCCUGACUCACUGCGUGUUUGGCCUGGGGCGAGGUACUAAGAAGGUCAACGUUUCCAGAAGCAUGCUGCACUUGAGGCACCUUCAGCCCGACUGUCAAGAGGUUCAGAGCAGCCACAGCUCCCACUGAGGAAUUCCUGCAAGCUGGGAUUCUAGUCUUUGUUUUUCCUCACUGAGUGAUAAGCGGAUAGCAGUGUCCAAUUGUUCAAAACGCCAGCCUCCUUCUCCAUCAAACUGCAACAAUCCUCCAGUGUUACUUGAUUGGCAAGCAGUGAAAAAAACAACCCUUCACAGGUGUCAUAGAUCUUUCAAUCAAGAGCAGGGCAUGUGCUCAAAGAAAUAUUACAAGAUAUGCAUGUGGACUUUUUCAAGACACACACAGACACUUAAAAGAACAUGGGGGAGGGGAAUUCCAGCAGAUGUGCUGUUAUGA